rnacentral:rRNA from 1 species
GGUUUGUUAAGUCAGAUGUGAAAGCCCCGGGGCUCAACCUCGGAAUUGCAUUUGAAACUGGCAAACUAGAGUACUGUAGAGGGGGUAGGAAUUUCAGGUGUAGCGGUGAAAUGCGUAGAGAUCUGAAGGAAUACCGGUGGCGAAGGCGGCCCCCUCGGACAGAUACUGACACUCAGAUGCGAAAGCGUGGGGAGCAAACAGGAUUAGAUACCCUGGUAG